GCCUGUGUGUUAUUCCAUGGACUCUGCCUGCUUACUGGAACCCACAACACAGGAAAUUGCAAGGAAGGAAUUCAGACAUACUGGAUGCUUCCAUCAAGCAGAACUAUGCUCCUUUCUCAUUUUUACAGCUAUGGAUGGGAAGAAAGUAGUUUUAUAAAAGCACCUGUGGUUAACCUUGGUACACAACAAUAUACAUUAGCAAUAACCAUUUCACAGUGAAAGUCUGAUAAUAUUUCGAAUGUAAACAACCUUUGAUAGUCGUGCUUAAAGUCACUUAACCUACAUUUGCUUAUCAGUAGUCUAGUUCUAACAAACAUCUACAAAGUCCUCCCAUUGUCUUCCUUUCAGGACCCAACACACACUAUCGGUGGGUCACCCAUCCACCCAGUAUAGCAUGAAUAUGUAGAGAAUUUUUUCAGGUUAACUUUUAGGAACAUGCAUAUUGAACAAUAUACAAAUUACUGACACAUUUACAGAUUCCCAUUGUUAUUAUUGGUGCCUCGUUCUCUAUCACAUCCAAAGGCUCAGAAAGAAAGAAAAAGUACAGCUGCUUUCUGAUAUCUCUGGACAUUUGGGAUACAGUGGGCCAGGUGAAAAAUAACAUCUUAAGGACUACUUUUUCCAGGCUUUUAGGAUUAGAGCACAGUAUGAAAACAACCAUCUAUUGCAUGAGCUAUGCUGUGAUACACCUGUUCCAGUGGAGGUCCCAGAGGUAUUGUGCUGCAGGCAAACACAAUGUCUCUAGGAACUGUAAUGGAAUAUACACAGCAGUAGUCCUUGCUACAUCUUUAACAGAGUUAAAUCCUUUUUUUGCUGGCCUUAUACCUACUAGUACAUGCAG